rnacentral:rRNA from 1 species
GAUGAACGCUGGCGGCAUGCCUUACACAUGCAAGUCGAACGGCCGCAUGACCUGGCUUCCUAGGUUGAUUGCGCGUGGCGAGCGGGUGAGUAAUGCAGCGGACCGUCCUUUUUGACUGGGGUAAACGUGGGAAACGUUACGCAAAUACCGCAUAUUCUCUGAGGCGGAAAGCAGAGGACCUUCAGGCCUUCCGCUUGACACGUGGCCGAUGUCGGAUUAGCUAGUUGGUGAGGUAAAGGCUCACCAAGGCAACGAUCCGUAGCGGGCCUGAGAGGAUGAUCCGCCACACUGGGACUGAGACACGGUCCAGACUCCUACGGGAGGCAGCAGUGGGGAAUUUUGGGCAAUGGGCGCAAGCCUGAUCCAGCCAUGCCGCGUGAGUGAAGAAGGCCUUCGGGUUGUAAAGCUCUUUCGGCUGGGAAGAAAACGCACCCUAUAAUCCAGGGUGUGCAUGACGGUACCAGCAGAAGAAGCACCGGCUAACUACGUG